ensembl:lncRNA
CUUGUCCAUAUUUUGGCUGACCAUUUCCCUCUUGGCUCUCGUGUCUUCGGAACUCUGUGGAAGCUUGCCGUUAUUACUGCCACCGUUGCAAUUUGUGCAUGUCUUAUUUACCUCUGGAGAGUUGUCCUUGCUUUAAUGUACAGCAAAAAACUGCAAAGAGCAACACGUUGGAGAAAGAAAACACAGAGCUGGCUGAAGCAAUAUCCAUGUGGGAACAGAAGAUACAUCUUCAAGAAGCUAAGAGAGAAAGUAACAUUCACUCUGCUGAAGCUCUUAAGUUGAAAUCAGAAGAUGCAAACGGUCAGUUGGAGGAACUGAGACCCUGGAGGUCCAAUAAACGUGCACUGGAAGCAUGGAAAAAGGCCGCGGAAGACCUUCAUAAUGAUUUGAGGUCUAUUAAAGCAAUCAGGGAAGAAACAGCCAAAAGGCUGAAGGAUACAGGAGACAUCCUUCAUAAAUUCUAUGAAGAAAGAAAAAUGGCUACAGCAAAGAAUCUGGAUAUGACAAACUGUGAACUAGUGGCAAUGAAGAAUCAGAUGGCAACUGCAGAGGAAAAUCUGAAAAUAGCUACAAGGGACAUACACAAGUGCAAACAGGAAAUUGAACAAACACGAGAACAGCUGCAGAAGGCAGAACUCACCUUCACACACCAGGUCGCAGUUUAUGAGCGUAAUGCUGCGGAAAACUGGGUAAGUGUUUUCCUUUUUCCUCCUCUCUCUUUGAGCUGCCCUGUUGAAAGUUAUUUGACUAAUUAUGAAGAACAUGAGCCAGGACCCUAUGGUUUCUUCAUUAAGAUAUGA